rnacentral:rRNA from 1 species
UACGUAGGGUGCAAGCGUUUGUCCGGAAUUAUUGGGCGUAAAGAGCUCGUAGGCGGUUCGUCGCGUCGGCUGUGAAAACCCGGAGCUCAACUCCGGGCCUGCAGUCGAUACGGGCGGACUUGAGUGUUGCAGGGGAGACUGGAAUUCCUGGUGUAGCGGUGAAAUGCGCAGAUAUCAGGAGGAACACCGGUGGCGAAGGCGGGGUCUCUGGGCAAACUACUGAGUGAGACGCGAAAAGCGUGGGGGGAGCAAAACAGG